UGUGUGUGUGAGGUUGUUGACUUAGUGGUCUCUCCAAAUCAAAAAAGGGUCUCUGUGUCUCUGGUUUACCCAUGUGACACACUAUCCCCUCCCCUCCCCUCCCUCCCUCGGAGCUUCUUAUAGUUAUGUGCCAACAACCAUUUCAAUCAUUUUGGCAGCUUGAUAUAGUGACAUUUUGAAUCCUCAAGAGAAAUUUGAAAGGAUAAUGCGCGGAAUCCAGGGUGCUCUUGUUGUUGCCUCAACUCUCCAGAUUGUUGUUGGCUUUAGUGGCCUUUGGCGUAAUGUUGCAAGGUUCUUAAGUCCACUUUCUGCUGUUCCCCGGCCUGGUCGCUUUGUCAGGUUUUGGGCUAUAUGAGUUUGGUUUUCCUGUGGUAUGUAUCUAUGAACUUCCAACAACAGAAAGAGUUUUUUUGGAAUUACAUGCUACUUCUUAGAUUACUUGUGAAGUUCAAUAAAAAUUAAUGCUUAUGUCCAUAUUAAUCUCUGUAAUUAUUGAUAACUGUAAAAUAGAGUUAGAGAAAGAUAAA